rnacentral:RNase_P_RNA from 1 species
GCCGGCUAACGGCCGGGCGGCGCGAGCCGACGGAAAGUGCCACAGAAACAUACCGCCGCCGCGUCCCUCGGGGUGCGGGGGUAAGGGUGAAAUGGUGCGGUAAGAGCGCACCGGCGUCCCGGAGACGGGGCGGCCGGGCAAACCCCACCCGGAGCAAGGCCAAAUAGGGGAGCGUUCGGGGCGUCCGGCUCCGCUCCCGGGUAGGCCGCUGGAGGCGGCGGGCAACCGUCGUCCUAGAUGGAUGGCCGUCGCCGCCCCUGGGGCGGUACAGAAUUCGGCUUACAGGCCCCCUGGCCCC